UACGUAGGGUGCAAGCGUUGUCCGGAAUUAUUGGGCGUAAAGAGCUCGUAGGCGGUCUGUUGCGUCGGCUGUGAAAACCCGGGGGCUCAACCCCCGGGCCUGCAGCCGAUACGGGCAGACUAGAGUUCGGCAGGGGGAGACUGGAAUUCCUGGUGUAGCGGUGAAAUGCGCAGAUAUCAGGAGGAACACCGGUGGCGAAGGCGGGGUCUCUGGGCCGAUACUGACGUGAGGAGCGAAAAGCGUGGGGGAGCGAACAGG
rnacentral:rRNA from 1 species